rnacentral:lncRNA from 1 species
AGUGUUGCACCCAUGGCAUAUCAGAGCUGUAGGGGCUGAAUCAGAGCUGUAGCUGCUGGCCUAUGCCAUAGACACAGCAACGCCAGAUCCUUAACCCACUGAGCCAGGCCAGGGAUUAUACCCGCAACCUCAUGGAUACUAGUCGGGUAUGUUACCACUGAGACACGACAGGCAUUCGCUCAAGUGAACAAUGUUUAUAAAGAAACCACUUGGGAGUUCCCGCGGUGGCGCAGUGGUUAACGAAUCUGACUCGGAACCAUGAGGUUUGAAAUAUUAAUAACACAUAGUCCAAAUACUGAUUUUAGUGAUUCUCUGAAGCCACAGAGUAGUGGAAAACCCCCACUAGCUAUUGCUAUUGAAUGAGGCAGAGGCUGAUUUAUUCCACCUAUAUUUGCAUAUACAGUAAUUUAACCUUUUUAAAACUCUUAUUGAGGUACUGUCAUUUAAGCGCUACAAAACCUUUUUAAAAGGUUUAUUCCAGUUGAUAGAAGAGAUGCAAACACCUAAGGUCGUGUAACUGAUAAAAGGCAAAAGCAGGACUAAACACCGGGCCUUCCUGCCUCGGGCUUACCGUGAAUUUGCAAAUCUAUCAUGGCCUCCUGGCCAUGGAGCCACCAGACUGUCUGUGGCAUGAGGCCAGAGAAAGAGGCCAUGUCUGACUUGCUCCCCACUGGUGUCUAGCACAGUACCUGACACACAGCAGACACACAAUAAGUACAUUAUUGGUGAGCAACUGAAUUCAUUUUCUUAGAGUUACUUUAGUCACCUGCAUGGUAGAAUGGAGCAUAUGGUAUUGCCAAAUACCUUGGCUUUUAAGAUGUUAUCGGCAUUAUUAGGAAUAAACAAAAAAGGAAACAUUAUCUUAUCAAACCUGUAUAUGUUGAUUCCCAAGGGGAUCAGAUUUCUGAGCCAGGGCCCCAGGAUUGUAUAUUUUUCCAGCUUCCUAGAAAAUUAAAUGUUGGCUUGAUGGAGGAAGUAGAAGACGGAAAAUGGAGGCUUCACAUGGGAAAGUAAAAACUGCAAAGUCUUGGGCAUAAUAUAACCAUUUGCAAGGCUGGUACAACAGCUCAGCCAUCACUAACUUAGCAUGGCAAGAAGAGGGCUUGCUAAAGGAGUGAGGAUUCACACAGAGGGAUACACAUCAACAAGACAGAAUCCACGCUAUGGCAGGAAGACACAGGUCUGAGGCAGGACAAGCCCAGUAACAAGGACCACAGAGGCUCAGGGCAGGAAAAGGAAUUCUGGGCAUGGCCUCACAGCCUUCCGGGAAAACACGGUGUGCUCAGCCACACUAGAGCAGGGGAGAACCAGGAGGAGCUGGCAGCCUUGGAUUCAUUAAGGUCCCAUCCUACAGGGCUCUCCAACCCUCCCUGCCCACCUUUCCCGAGGAUACUCAGAAACGAGACAGUGACUCCUAAUGGGCCGACUUCUCCUUUCCCACCAAGUCCUCACCAGUAUCACUCAGGGCUCCAUCCUCCCCCAGAGCCUAAACCACACACCCAGACCUAUGCCUUCCCCUACCAGUCUGGUUU